rnacentral:rRNA from 1 species
CGAUGAAGGCCUUCGGGUCGUAAAGCUCUGUUGUUAGAGAAGAACAAGUACGAGAGUAACUGCUCGUACCUUGACGGUACCUAACCAGAAAGCCACGGCUAACUACGUGCCAGCAGCCGCGGUAAUACGUAGGUGGCAAGCGUUAUCCGGAAUUAUUGGGCGUAAAGCGCGCGCAGGCGGUCUCUUAAGUCUGAUGUGAAAGCCCACGGCUCAACCGUGGAGGGUCAUUGGAAACUGGGAGACUUGAGUGCAGGAGAGAAAAGUGGAAUUCCACGUGUAGCGGUGAAAUGCGUAGAGAUGUGGAGGAACACCAGUGGCGAAGGCGGCUUUUUGGCCUGUAACUGACGCUGAGGCGCGAAAGCGUGGGGAGCAAACAGGAUUAGAUACCCUGGUAGUCCACGCCGUAAACGAUGAGUGCUAGGUGUUGGGGGGUUCCACCCUCAGUGCUGAAGUUAACACAUUAAGCACUCCGCCUGGGGAGUACGACCGCAAGGUUGAAACUCAAAGGAAUUGACGGGGGCCCGCACAAGCAGUGGAGCAUGUGGUUUAAUUCGAAGCAACGCGAAGAACCUUACCAGGUCUUGACAUCCUUUGACCACUCUAGAGAUAGAGCUUUCCCCUUCGGGGGACAAAGUGACAGGUGGUGCAUGGUUGUCGUCAGCUCGUGUCGUGAGAUGUUGGGUUAAGUCCCGCAACGAGCGCAACCCUUGACCUUAGUUGCCAGCAUUCAGUUGGGCACUCUAAGGUGAC